UGAGUACGGCGGGGUGGCGGGGGGUCCCUUUCUUCCUCAGCCAAGGCUGAAGACAAAGAUCAGAUCUUGAGGAUCAUUUUUAAGACUGCCAUGUGCUGGGAAACCUUGUUUUCCUACCCCAGACAUUU
ensembl:scaRNA